AUGCCAAGCCGAGGAACAACACUGUCCAAGAUGCAGUUUUGCCAAUGCCACAAGAAUCAUACUCCUUCCCCUGAUCCUAAAGGAAGAAGGGAUAGCCACACUCCUCUCGAAGUUCGCCAACCUAUGAGGAAGGAAAGGUAUGAAGAAGAUGCUCUCUUCCAGUUGCUACAGAGGAACCAUUUGCACACUCGCAUCUUGGAUAAUAGAAUUCCAAGACAGUAG